rnacentral:rRNA from 1 species
CGGGAAUAUUGGACAAUGGGCGCAAGCCUGAUCCAGCAAUACCGCGUGUGUGAAGAAGGCCUGCGGGUUGUAAAGCACUUUCAGUUGGGAAGAUAAUGACGUUACCAACAGAAGAAGCACCGGCUAACUCCGUGCCAGCAGCCGCGGUAAUACGGAGGGUGCAAGCGUUAAUCGGAAUUACUGGGCGUAAAGCGCACGUAGGCGGUUUUCUAAGUCAGAUGUGAAAUCCCCGGGCUUAACCUGGGAACUGCACCUGAUACUGGAAGACUAGAAUGUGGGAGAGGAGAGUGGAAUUUCCGGUGUAGCGGUGAAAUGCAUAGAGAUCGGAAGGAACACCAGUGGCGAAGGCGGCUCUCUGGACCAACAUUGACGCUGAGGUGCGAAAGCGUGGGUAGCAAAC